GGGCGGGACCUUGGUCGCGUCGGCCCCGUAGCCGGCGCGCGGAGCGGACCCUGCGGCAGCCUUUGGCCGUUAGCGCGUCUUGGGCGGUUGUCUUGGAGAAGCAAGAUGGCGGCGACGGCGACCGCAGUGGUGGCCGAGGAGGACACGGAACUCCGGGACCUGCUGGUGCAGACGCUGGAGAACAGCGGGGUACUGAACCGCAUCAAGGCGGAACUCCGAGCAGCCGUGUUUUUAGCACUAGAAGAGCAAGAAAAAGUAGAGAACAAAACUCCUUUAGUCAAUGAGAGCCUGAAAAAGUUUUUAAAUACCAAAGACGGUCGUUUAGUGGCUAGUCUUGUUGCAGAAUUUCUUCAGUUUUUUAACCUUGACUUUACCUUGGCUGUUUUUCAACCUGAAACUAGCACACUGCAAGGUCUUGAAGGUCGAGAAAAUUUAGCCCGAGAUUUAGGUAUAAUUGAAGCAGAAGGUACUGUGGGUGGACCUUUAUUAUUAGAAGUGAUCAGACGCUGUCAACAGAAAGAAAAAGGGCCAACCACUGGGGAAGGUACACUAGAUCUAUCUGAUGUGCAUUCUCCACCAAAGUCACCAGAAGGAAAAACAAGUGCACAGACAACACCAAGUAAGAUACCAAGGUAUAAAGGACAAGGUAAGAAGAAGACAAGCGGGCAGAAGGCUGGUGACAAGAAGACCAACAGUGAGGCCAGUCAGAGUGAUACAAGUGUCUCCUUGUCAGAACCAAAGAGCAAAAGCAGCCUUCACUUACUGUCCCAUGAAACAAAAAUUGGAUCUUUUCUAAGCAACAAAACUUUAGAUGGCAAAGACAAAGCCGGCCUUUGUCCAGAUGAAGAUGAUAUGGAAGGAGAUUCUUUCUUUGAUGAUCCCAUUCCUAAGCCAGAGAAAACUUAUGGUUUGAGGAAUGAACCAAGGAAGCAGGCAGGAAGCCUGGCCUCGCUGUCGGAUGCACCCCCCUUAAAAAGUGGACUCAGCUCCCUGGCGGGGGCCCCUUCCUUAAAAGACUCUGAGAUUUUAGGUUAUUAUGCUCCUGUCAUAAAGAAGCGCCAUAUUGAACAACAACAAAAAUUAAUAUGGUUUAGAGACUGUUGUAUUCUAAAAGUCACUCUAAUAAUAUUUUCUCCUGUUCACAGGGACUGGAGAAGACGAUGACUAUGUUGAUGAUUUUAACAGUACCAGCCACCGCUCAGAGAAAAGUGAGAUAAGUAUUGGUGAAGAGAUUGAAGAAGACCUUUCUGUGGAAAUAGAUGACAUCAAUACCAGUGAAAAGCUUGAUGACCUCACACAAGACCUGACUGUAUCCCAGCUCAGUGAUGUUGCAGAUUAUCUGGAAGAUGUUGCAUAGACAUGAAGAAGGAAGUAUUCUAAUUAACGAAGGACAAAGGACUGAUCAGUUCCAUUUUUUUCUCCAGACAAUCACUCUGCUGGAAUGUCUGCUCUCUGUUGGUGCCUUGUGUUUCAAAAAGACUGCAGAUAUUUUUUAAAAUUAAUUUUUCAUUUUACUAAACAAAAUACUUCCUAUUUGAGCCCAUGUGUGGAAGAUUUAAUAUUUUUAACUGUACAUUUCUUUAUGAAAAUUAUCUACACUCAGUUUCAUUACCGGGGGGAACCCAUGAAAACACCAGUGUUAAGAGCCUGAUGAAAGGUGUCAUUGAAGCUGUAGGAUCACACAACCCUUUGUGUGUGUGGCUGCUGGUACCUGUGAUCUUUGAAAACCUUGGCUUUAGCCCUCUGGAAUCAGAGCUUACCCACCAUAGUAUAUAUUUUAAUAUUAGGUGGUUCUACACAUAGUUGGCAAAAUGACUUGGUAAAGUUAUAAUACUGAAGUAUAUUAGUAUAAUUUAAAUUUGAUGUGUCAACUUUAUUUUGUAUUUCCUUCCAUUUGGAAGGUUUGUUAGACCAUUAAGGUUAUAUUAAAGUACUCUUGUGUGUGCUAUUUAGUUUUGCUUGUUUUAAAAAAUCUAGAAGUGGCUAUGAGUUUUAAUUCAUAGAAUUGUCAAUAACAGAUAACAUUUGCAAUCGCCAUUUCUCCUGUUGUCCACGUAAGCAGCUUUAGUUGCAAGUUCUCUUCAUUAUAAUUUAUUAUUUGUAAAGAUUCCUUUAAACAUAUUCAAUACCAAAAUGCAUCUGAAACCAUUAAGCAGUGCUUUUAUUUCAGAUCUGUAAGUUAAUUGUAUUAAAAUCCAAAUUGGAAUGAAAUAGUAGUAAUGGCCUAAGACCAUGUUCAGUUUGACAAGCUUUAUAUACUGUACAUAAUUUCAUUGUAGCCCUUAAAAAUAGAGCCAAUAAUAGAAUUUCCGCAGUCUCAUGUAUACAGUUAAAGCAUUACUGCUAUGAUGUAGGUCACAGAUGUGUAUAAUACGAAAGUAUUUUAAAAUGUGCAAGUAGAAAAAAACAAUAGAAAGUGAUGCAUGCGUAUUUAUGUAUAAGUAAAGCUAGGAUUGCGCUGUUUUUGUACUUUGUAAUUAUGGCUUUAUACUAAAAGUUACCUUUAUUAGUAAAAGGAGCAAAUUAGACAUAAUUCGUCGAUCUCGGUAAGUAAGCAGACUGCAUGACCUGUGUAGUGCCAGUUUCUCAUUUCAUAUUAGCCUAAAUAUUGCAGAAAUACUUCUUGGGCUCUAAAAUGUAGAGGAGAUGAAAAUAUAAGGAUUAAGGCUGUGUUACAGAAUCUGGCUUUUUAAAAUUUAAGUGAAACUGAGCUGUAAACAUCAAGAGGAAGUAGGACAUAAAGGGCUGGGCAGCCUGGAAGCCUGUGCAUUUCUGCCCUCCGCCUGUGAGCUGCCAUCUCAGUCGCCUUCAGGUUCUUCAUUUCUUAGUGAGUAAACAGCACCAUGUACAGAUGUCAUCUUGUUGCAGUGACCCAGUGUGCCUGUUACAAAAUGCAUUUCUUUGUAAGUCAUCUCUGAAAACAGUCACUUUCUAAAAGCACUGUAGUUGUGUUCUGGCCUCUGGAAUCUGGAUCACAUUGUGUGAUUUAUCUUAAUAUUCUUUGAUAGGAGUUAGGUUUCAGUGAAAUGAUUUGAAAGCAUAACAGGAUGUGGCUUUUUAAAUUUAUGAAACUGUUGAACAGUAGCAACUGAAAUAUGUCACUUUUGUUACCCAGAGAGUCAGACCUUUCGAUAAUAUUUGGGAGGGUAAGAGAAAAAAUAUGAAACUUUUUUAUUAGCACUACAUACAUCUUUUUUUUUUUUUUUUUUUUUUUUUGAAACAGUCUCACUCUGUCGCCCAGGCUGGAGUGCAGUGGUGCGAUCUCUGCUCAACGCAGCCUCCACCUCCCAGGUUCAAGUGAUUAUCCUGCCUCAGCCUCCCAAGUAGCUGGGAUUACAGGCACGUGCCACCACAUCCGGCUAACUUUUGUAUUUUUAGUAGCGAUGGGGUUUCACCAUGUUGGUCAGGCUGAUCUUGAAGUCCUGAUCUCAUGAUCCGCUUGCCUCAACCUCUCAAGGUGCUGGGAUUACAGGUGUGAACCACCACACCCAGCCAGCACUACAUACAUCUUAUUGAAUAAUUUUUAAUGACUUAAAGUUCAACUAUGAAAAAGCUUUGUUUUCACAUGUACUUUUUGAUUAGGUAUUAUCAACUUAUUAAAAUCGAAGAUGUGAAGUGACAGGUUUUGCAUGUGACACGUUUUCUGUUAAAUAUUGAAAUAUUAACCUGUGAAAUACAUUUUUAUGGUAACCUAUGUUUUACAAUGGAGUUUUUAAAAUGCUAGGUCUUUUAUUGAUAACUACAAAUGAAUAAAAAUCAUUUUUCUCUCUGU